AACAUACUCCCUCCGUCAGGAAUUACUUGUCCUAGAGAUGAAUAUAUCUAGACUUAUUUUAGUUAUAGAUACAUCCAUUAUAUCCAUUUCUAGGACAAGUAUUUUCGGAAGGAGGGAGUAGCAG
rnacentral:pre_miRNA from 1 species